rnacentral:rRNA from 2 species
UGGUCGCCAACGAGUGGCGGACGGGUGAGUAACACGUAGGUAACCUGCCCAGAAGCGGGGGACAACAUUUGGAAACAGAUGCUAAUACCGCAUAACAGCGUUGUUCGCAUGAACAACGCUUAAAAGAUGGCUUCUCGCUAUCACUUCUGGAUGGACCUGCGGUGCAUUAGCUUGUUGGUGGGGUAACGGCCUACCAAGGCGAUGAUGCAUAGCCGAGUUGAGAGACUGAUCGGCCACAAUGGGACUGAGACACGGCCCAUACUCCUACGGGAGGCAGCAGUAGGGAAUCUUCCACAAUGGGCGCAAGCCUGAUGGAGCAACACCGCGUGAGUGAAGAAGGGUUUCGGCUCGUAAAGCUCUGUUGUUAAAGAAGAACACGUAUGAGAGUAACUGUUCAUACGUUGAC